GUUCAGGUGGGGUUCAAGGUUGUAAUACUUGGCAUUUGCUGAACCAUCAGACUGCCAACUACUGGACAGGACUUAAAAUUCCCUGUCUUGUCUUGCCUUCACCGCUCAAAUGGAUCUUGAUUGCUCAAACGGAUCUUGAUUUCUCAUCAGACCUGAUCUGCGGUGUCAAAUUAGUUGCUCCAGGAGACAGUAAAAGACAACCAACCCUUAAGGAUUUGCUUGAUUGCAGUAGGCAUAACUGUCUUAAACCUACCAGUGAGUAGUAGUCCCUAAAUCAUGAAGGUUUUGAUGCUUCUCUAUGUCCUGAUUAAUAUAAUGUGGUGAUAUCUUAAGGGGUUGAGUGAAGUUCCCAAAGCCCACAGCCAAGACUUUUUCCAUAACAAUACCUGACAAAAGUUCAUUUUCUUCCCUUUUGUGUCUGUCCACUUAAAUGUACUGAGCGCUUCUGCAGACCAGAAGCACCAGGUGUUAAUCAGGGAUUUUCUUACUCUGCCUUACUAAUCGUGCUUUACCCUUUCAUAAGGGAUUGCAGUGUGGACCUUGCUAUUUACCAGUAGUACAUUUGGACACAAAUAUAGCUUUGUAUCUGUCUUAUUUCCCAGAUCUUUGUUGAAGCUCAUGUUUGGUUAUCUCUUCUAAUCUCUUAAACUUCCUGCGGGACAAUAUAACUGACCUGGGUGGUAGGUUCUUUAUUUUUCUGGAACAGAGAAAAAAAUACCUUUAAACAGCAUGUCGUAUAUCUUCACCUUUUGCUUUCUCCUGACUCAACUAAUUUAUUUUCCUCCUAUAUAUCAUGUGAGUUUUCAUGGUGACAAGGUCUUACAUACACAAGUUUCCACAAAACGUUUCCUUUUUUGCCCUUUUGGGACAAACUUCUCACCCUCUGCACACAAAAUCCAUCCCAUGAAGAUGGAGAACUGAUUGCUACAUAUCUUGCUGUGGAGGAGUCUAGGAGCUGAUUGGUACUGAAGUAGCUCUCCAUCAGAAAGGAGUCAUCUAGGGAUCACAAAUGGUGUGAAUGAGGAUGGGAGAGCAGAUACCACCCAGCCCACAUUUCCCUCCUGUACAUACAGUCUGGGAGGGGGAAAGUAGGACAGAGCCUGGGCUCUACCUCCCCAGUGUCCCAGAAAGCAAAGGUGAGUGGGUACAGAUUGACAAUGGACAUAAAAACUUCCCUUGGACCAAAACUGGUUCUGAGCUAAGACUUGGCAGCAGGUGGACACGUGAAACAUGAAUUCCAGGUUUACUUUGCGUUAGCCUUGGCUUGACCUUGACUCCACAGGACUGUUUUGAAUUUUCAGUGGAAGAUUUUGAUUUCCAGAGCAGGAGGGCUUUGACUUCAGGACAGGGGUUGACAGCCGUUUGCUAGAUCUAUUUGUGCAGUGGAAUUUUUUAAAAUGUCCACUAGCAUUUUUUAAAUAGCACGCCAUUAAUUUUUUUCCAGCCUACUGGAAAUUAUAAAGUCCACUAAGAAUUCAGCCUUGGUUUUGGUGCCAAUUUUAAGGAUUUGCUCUACUGGACAAACUUGUUGCAUCAUUCUGGUGUGACAUUUGCGUCAUGGUGUUCCAACACUGACUCCUUCUUAUGCAAAGCAGUCACAUUGCCUCAUGCUAACCUGGGGCUGCACUGCAACAUGACCACGUUAUGAUGCAAUAUCACUGUGUGGUGACACAGCACUGUUAUGUGAUUUCUUGGUGAGAACCUGAGAUAUAUUUUUGGAUAUGUGCCUUCAGAAUUUUAAUCUCUCUGAGAAUAAUGUUAUAGCUAGAAAAA